GACGAACGCUGGCGGCGUGCCUAAUACAUGCAAGUCGAACGCUUCUUCCUCCCGAGUGCUUGCACUCAUUUGGAAAGAGGAGUGGCGGACGGGUGAGUAACACGUGGGUAACCUACCCAUCAGAGGGGGAUAACACUUGGAAACAGGUGCUAAUACCGCAUAACAGUUUAUGCCGCAUGGCAUAAGAGUGAAAGGCGCUUUCGGGUGUCACUGAUGGAUGGACCCGCGGUGCAUUAGCUAGUUGGUGAGGUAACGGCUCACCAAGGCCACGAUGCAUAGCCGACCUGAGAGGGUGAUCGGCCACACUGGGACUGAGACACGGCCCAGACUCCUACGGGAGGCAGCAGUAGGGAAUCUUCGGCAAUGGACGAAAGUCUGACCGAGCAACGCCGCGUGAGUGAAGAAGGUUUUUCGGAUUCGUAAAACUUCUGU
rnacentral:rRNA from 1 species